GUGGGGAAUUUUGGACAAUGGGCGCAAGCCUGAUCCAGCCAUUCCGCGUGCAGGAUGAAGGCCUUCGGGUUGUAAACUGCUUUUGUACGGAACGAAAAGGUUCUCUCUAAUACAGGGGGCUGAUGACGGUACCGUAAGAAUAAGCACCGGCUAACUACGUGCCAGCAGCCGCGGUAAUACGUAGGGUGCAAGCGUUAAUCGGAAUUACUGGGCGUAACGCGUGCGCAGGCGGUGAUGUAAGACAGAUGUGAAAUCCCCGGGCUCAACCUGGGAACUGCAUUUGUGACGGCAUUGCUGGAGUGCGGCAGAGGGGGAUGGAAUUCCGCGUGUAGCAGUGAAAUGCGUAGUUAUGCGGAGGAACACCGAUGGCGAAGGCAAUCCCCUGGGCCUGCACUGACGCUCAUGCACGAAAGCGUGGGGAGCAAACAGGAUUAGAUACCCGGGUAGUCC
rnacentral:rRNA from 1 species